GUAAACGGCGGCCGUAACUAUAACGGUCCUAAGGUAGCGAAAUUCCUUGUCGGGUAAGUUCCGACCCGCACGAAAGGUGUAACGAUUUGGGCACUGUCUCAACGAGGGACCCGGUGAAAUUGAAAUACCUGUGAAGAUGCAGGUUACCCGCGACUGGACAGAAAGACCCCAUGGAGCUUUACUGUAACCUGACAUUGGGUUUUGAUACAUUACGUACAGGAUAGGUGGGAGGCUUGGAAAGCUGGACGCUAGUCUGGCUGGAGCCGACGUUGGGAUACCACCCUUGAUGUAUUGAAAUUCUAACCGCGAGAGUAACGAAAUCCGGGACAGUGUCAGGCGGGCAGUUUGACUGGGGCGGUCGCCUCCGAAAGAGUAACGGAGGCGCCCAAAGGUUCCCUCAGCGCGGCCGGAAAUCGCGCGAAGAGUGUAAAGGCAGAAGGGAGCUUGACUGCGAGUCAAACACGACGAGCAGGUACGAAAGUAGGGCUUAGUGAUCCGGUGGUACCGAGUGGAAGGGCCAUCGCUCAACGGAUAAAAGCUACCCUGGGGAUAACAGGCUAAUCUCUCCCAAGAGUCCAUAUCGACGGGGAGGUUUGGCACCUCGAUGUCGGCUCAUCACAUCCUGGGGCUGAAGUCGGUCCCAAGGGUUGGGCUGUUCGCCCAUUAAAGUGGUACGUGAGCUGGGUUCAGAACGUCGUGAGACAGUUCGGUCCCUAUCCAUCGCGGGCGCAAGAGAUUUGAAGGGGGCUGCUCCUAGUACGAGAGGACCGGAGUGGACGAACCGCUGGUGUACCAAUUAUCCCGCCAGGGGUACAGUUGGGUAGCUACGUUCGGAAAGGAUAAACGCUGAAAGCAUCUAAGCGUGAAACCAGCCUUAAGAUGAGAUCUCUCAUAGAGCAAUCUAGUAAGACACCUUAAAGAAGAUGAGGUUGAUAGGUCGGGAGUGUAAGUACAGCAAUGUAUUGAGCGGACCGAUACUAAUAUGUCGAGGGCUUGACUUA
rnacentral:rRNA from 1 species